rnacentral:rRNA from 1 species
UUCCUACGGGAGGCAGCAGUGAGGAAUAUUGGUCAAUGGACGAGAGUCUGAACCAGCCAAGUAGCGUGAAGGAUGACUGCCCUAUGGGUUGUAAACUUCUUUUAUAUGGGAAUAAAGUUUUCCACGUGUGGAAUUUUGUAUGUACCAUAUGAAUAAGGAUCGGCUAACUCCGUGCCAGCAGCCGCGGUAAUACGGAGGAUGCGAGCGUUAUCCGGAUUUAUUGGGUUUAAAGGGUGCGCAGGCGGACCAUCAAGUCAGCGGUAAAAUCGUGGGGCCCAACCCCAUCCCGCUGUUGAAACUGGCGG